rnacentral:rRNA from 1 species
UACCAGCACCCCGAGUGGUCGGGACGUUUAUUGGGCCUAAAGCAUCCGUAGCCGGUUCUACAAGUCUUCCGUUAAAUCCACCUGCUUAACAGAUGGGCUGCGGAAGAUACUAUAGAGCUAGGAGGCGGGAGAGGCAAGCGGUACUCGAUGGGUAGGGGUAAAAUCCGUUGAUCCAUUGAAGACCACCAGUGGCGAAGGCGGCUUUCUGGUCUGCUCUUGACGCUGAGGCGCGAAAGCUAGGGUAGCAAACGGG